rnacentral:rRNA from 1 species
GUGCCAGCAGCCGCGGUAAUACGUAGGAGGCGAGCGUUGUCCGGAUUUAUUGGGCGUAAAGAGCGCGCAGGCGGCAUGGCAAGUAAGGUGUGAAAUCUCCCUGCUCAACGGGGAGGGAGCACUUUAGACUGCCAAGCUAGAGGACGGUAGAGGGGGGUAGAACUGCUGGUGUAGCGGUGAAAUGCGUAGAGAUCAGCAAGAAUACCCGUGGCGAAGGCGGCCCCCUGGGCCGAACCUGACGCUGAGGCGCGAAGGCUAGGGGAGCGAACGGGAUUAGAUACCCCAGUAGUCC